GCCGCCGUCGACCAGUGGCUGGUCACCUCCAAAAUGUACGCUGUUUCCCUGUUACUAGGGGGCACGGGGGUUCGAAUCCCCCCGGCGGCA